rnacentral:rRNA from 1 species
GAUGAACGCUAGCGGCAGGCCUAAUACAUGCAAGUCGAACGGUGUCUUCGGACAUAGUGGCGCACGGGUGCGUAACACGUAUGCAACCUACCUUACAUUGGGGGAUAGCCUUUCGAAAGGGAGAUUAAUACCGCAUAAGACAGUAGCUGGGCAUCCAGCAGCUGUUGAAGAUUUAUCGAUGUAAGCUGGGCAUGCGUCCAAUUAGCUAGUUGGUGAGGUAACGGCUCACCAAGGCAAUGAUUGGUAGGGGAACUGAGAGGUCAAUCCCCCACACUGGCACUGAGAUACGGGCCAGACUCCUACGGGAGGCAGCAGUAGGGAAUAUUGGGCAAUGGACGCAAGUCUGACCAGCCAUGCCUCGUGCAGGAUGAAGGCGUUAUGCGUUGUAAACUGCUUUUAUACAGGAAGAAACGACUCUUGCGAGAGGCAUUGACGGUACUGUAUGAAUAAGCACCGGCUAACUCCGUGCCAGCAGCCGCAGUAAGAC